rnacentral:tRNA from 1 species
CGCGGGGUGGAGCAGCCUGGUAGCUCGUCGGGCUCAUAACCCGAAGGUCGUCGGUUCAAAUCCGACGCGG